AGGGCACAGCGGCGUCUUCACCUCGCGCCCGAUGCUGCUCCGGUCGGCGCCUCCUCUGCGUCGCCGGCAGCGCACAGCGCCUCCUACCUCGUCUCCGACUGCUCGACGAAUAGACCCACCGCCGCUCGUCUCCAUUCGCCGCUGCCUCCUUCGCGAGGCAGCCACGACACUCGCCGGAGACUCACGUCUGCUGCCUCCGUCUCACGCCCUCCGUCGAGCGCUCUCAUCCUCGGCGAGUCCAGCAGCACAGAGGAGGCAUCGCCUCCUUCUGCCUCUCUCAGCCGUGGCCUGCAGACGCCUCGCGGAGUUUCCGGAGUCCCGCCGGAAGUGAGGAGGAGGCAUCGCCUCUCUCUCUCUCCGUGCUACACAGCGGUGCAGCACUGCCAUUGUCGCAUUUCACAAUUGACGCUGCCGAGGCAGCGCCGCUGUCAUCCUCUUCUGCAGCGACAGUCACCUCAGCGAGCCGAUGUCGCCGAGUUCUGCCUCCCCGUCGGCGCCCCGCCGCCGGACGUUUCGCUCCUUAAGCUAAGUCUAUCUUUCUUUCUUUUUUUAUUUCUCUUGUUUAAGCUUUCUUGAGUUAUCUUGGAGGUGUUUAAACUUGGUGUGGCUAUAGAACUAUGCUCUUGUUGUUCAUGUGCCUUGGUGCUUAGGAUUCUUUCAUCCUUAAAAUUGGAUUCUAAGAUAGAUUAGCUACAUUGGGUUGGAGUAGAGCUACUGAAAAUUACUCUAUGUCUUUCUACUUAAAUUACAUGAUGAUAUGAGAUGUCAUUUGGGAGAGCGGUGGAGGUGUAUUACCUCUUGAAGCAGUUGCUUGAUUUUCAGCUUCUAAAACUUGGACUCUCUCACUUACUCCCUGAUUCCUUGUUGAAAUGUUGGGGAAAAAGAUGAGCUUGCUUUAGCAUCAAGUGUUUGUGAUGAGAGGAGGAAAAAUGUGUUACCUAUGGGGAGUGGGAGUUGCUCUUGCUGCCACUGGUGUUGAUACUCCAAGCUCUCAAAUUUUUCUCUAACUUUGCUGAAUAUUUGUGGUGUAUGGGGAGGGAGUCAGAGGGCAGUAUAGAGUGGUUUAUAUAGGCGAAGUGUGUGUACUCGUGAGGCUUUAAAUGGCUUUUGUAUUACUUUGUUCUCUUCUUGCAGCCAAAUCCUCCUUUUUAAGAUCUUCACUAAGCUUUUAAUUAAUACAUUCGUCUCUUUCUUGAAGCACAAUUACUCCCUUCAUAAUAUCACUUGUUUGGACAUGUAGGGGUGCAGGUGGUUGCUUGAUUCAGGCAGAUUUGGUGCAGCUAGAGGGAGACGUUUUGGGUUAGCUACUUGACAAGGAGUUGGUUAAGGGUGAGUUGAGACUCCAAGAGAGGCAAGUCUCCAAUUUGGCAGCAUUGAAAAGUAAACCAUAUUUGUUUUAUCUUACUCUCGGUUGGUGCAAUGGAAGUGUAGGUGUGUACCUGCCAUUUUGGGAUCAUUUUGACCUCCUUUGAUAAAGUUUGAUGGCAGAUAAGGGAAAGGGUUUUGAAUCUUGGUGAUGUGGUCUUGGAUCGAGACAAGGCAGUCGGGCUGGCUGCGUGGGCCAUCGGGCUGCCCUUCAAGUCAUUGGGCCGAAAGAAAUCUUGAGUUCGAGAAGAGAGGCCCAACAUUUGUAUAUUUGCAUUCUUAAAUUCUUUCUCAUCAACUUGUGUGUAAUUUAUUUUGUAACUAGAGAGUAGCUUGAUAUGUAUUCGAAUUUUCUAGAUCAGCAAAGUAACCUCAUAUUCUUUCUUGA